rnacentral:tRNA from 1 species
GUCUGUAGCUCAGUGGCAGAGCACUUGCCUAGCAUGCGUGAGGCACUGGGUUUGAUCCUCAGCAUCACA